GAUGCUGUGGAUUGGAGAUGGGGUUGGGCUCAAUAUUUCAGAUACGGUGAGAGUCCCAAUGAUGGAUCUAUUUUACGCAAAAAGUAGUUCUGAUUUAAUUAAGGAGUGGGCCAAUAUUUUGGAUAUGGUGAAACUCAUGAAUGAGAGACCGAAGUUGGCUGCAACAUGUUUGGAGAAACACUGAAGAAGAGUUGUCCACUUAUUAAUUGACCCAACACCAAUAACUAUUAGGUAAGGUAGUGAGUCAAUUGGUGAGACCACAGCACCCACUUAAGACUCUUAAUCAUGGAGGUUUUUGCUUUUCUUCCAAGGGAGUGUGGGGAACUGAGAAAACAGUG
rnacentral:lncRNA from 1 species